UACGGGGGGGGCAAGCGUUGUUCGGAAUUACUGGGCGUAAAGGGUUCGUAGGUGGCCAAUUAAGUCAGACGUGAAAUCCCUCAGCUCAACUGGGGAACUGCGUCUGAGACUGGAUGGCUUGAGUGCAGGAGAGGAACGCGGAAUUCCAGGUGUAGCGGUGAAAUGCGUAGAUAUCUGGAGGAACACCGGUGGCGAAGGCGGCGUUCUGGACUGCAACUGACACUGAGGAACGAAAGCCAGGGGAGCAAACGGG
rnacentral:rRNA from 1 species